rnacentral:rRNA from 1 species
AUGAAAAUUCCGAGGAGUGUUGUCUCGACCCUUAAGAGAUGGAUGGAUGUUCCAACCAAUGCGAGGGUGACUCUUGAAACUCCUGAUGAACCUACUCAUGUCAUCACUCCUUCGUCAUACUACACUCCUUCGUCAUACCACAUCUGCAAAAAAGACGGCAGGAUGGUAAUUGAAAAGUCUUCUUUCAGAUACUUCAUAUCAGCUGCAUCCUUUGUUAAAGAGAAUGUUGUUAUGGUCACAUUCAAAGAGCACAAUGAUCAUUUUGUGUCCAUCAUCAUUCAGCUCAUUCCGUAG